rnacentral:rRNA from 1 species
GGGUUGUGAGGUUAAGCGACUAAGCGUACACGGUGGAUGCCCUGGCAGUCAGAGGCGAUGAAGGGCGUGCUAAUCUGCGAUAAGCGCCGGUAAGGUGAUAUGAACCGUUAUAACCGGCGAUACCCGAAUGGGGAAACCCAGUGUGACUCGUCACACUAUCAUUAACUGAAUCCAUAGGUUAAUGAGGCGAACCGGGGGAACUGAAACAUCUAAGUACCCCGAGGAAAAGAAAUCAACCGAGAUUCCCCCAGUAGCGGCGAGCGAACGGGGAGGAGCCCAGAGCCUGAAUCAGCAUGUGUGUUAGUGGAAGCGUCUGGAAAGACGCGCGAUACAGGGUGACAGCCCCGUACACAAAAGCGCAUGUGCUGUGAGCUCGAUGAGUAGGGCGGGACACGUGGUAUCCUGUCUGAAUAUGGGGGGACCAUCCUCCAAGGCUAAAUACUCCUGACUGACCGAUAGUGAACCAGUACCGUGAGGGAAAGGCGAAAAGAACCCCGGCGAGGGGAGUGAAAAAGAACCUGAAACCGUGUACGUACAAGCAGUGGGAGCACCCUUUGGGGUGUGACUGCGUACCUUUUGUAUAAUGGGUCAGCGACUUAUAUUCUGUAGCAAGGUUAACCG